rnacentral:tRNA from 1 species
GGUGUUGUGGCUCAGUGGUAUAGCGCUUGCCUAGCACGUGAGAGACCCUAGGUUCAAUCCUCAGCACCA